UGCGUAGGCGGCUGUGCAAGUCUGGCGUGAAAGCCCCGGGCUCAGCCCGGGAAGUGCGCUCGAAACUGCGCAGCUCGAGUGCCGGAGGGGAGAGUGGAAUUCCUGGUGUAGCGGUGAAAUGCGUAGAUAUCAGGAGGAAUACCGGUGGCGAAAGCGACUCUCUGGACGGCAACUGACGCUGAGGCACGAAAAGCGUGGGGAGCAAACA
rnacentral:rRNA from 1 species